rnacentral:lncRNA from 1 species
UUAAGUAUAGGAUUGAAAAAUAUAGUUCGUAUUAUGCUCAUUUAUUAACGAGUCGAAUAUGAAUUGGCUUGCGAACAGCAUGUUAGAUUAUCAGCCAGACUUCUGGUUGAAAAAUUGAAAGAAAAUUAGAAAAAUAGAAUCUUAAUGUAAUAAUUAAUUUAUAAAAUAUAGAGCUUUUUAUAUUUAGGAUGGUCUAUUAUCCAAAUAGUAAAAAUAUUCACUAUUAAUAUAAACAUCAAUAACUCAAAUCUAUCUAUUUUUAGAAUAUCAUUCAAUUUUAACCGUUCAUUUUAUACUCACUUGAUAAACUUUAUUAUAAUUUUGAAAAAUCAUGAAACUUAUUUUCUAGAAGUUUUGCAUGCUUAAAAUAAUAUUUAAUGGUGUGGAUAUCGUCAAUUCGGAAGCUCUAUCACCAAAAAAAUUUUAUGAGUACAAAUAGCUCUAUACUUAUAAGAGUAUUGUAUUCCUAUUAUAUAUAUAUAUAUAUAUAUAGCUAGGCUACUAUACUAUCGGUAGCACGGAGCGCUCCGUGCUACCAAGUUAUUUUCGGUAAUGCGGCUUCCAAAUCAACGAUCGGCUCCGUUAGAUUUGAUCUACACUAUUAAAAGUAUUUAGAAACUAAAUUUCAUAAUUUUUCGAUAUCAUUUACCUAUCAAACAAGUAGUCUAAAAUUGAACGGCUGAAAAUAAAAAUCUCAUAAAGAAUGAUGAUAAAAUAUUUAAAUUCAAUAUCAGAUAUACUGAUCUUACUCUAAAUAGUGAAAAGAAUUUUCUAUAAAAUUUCAUCGGAUUUGGAUUAUUUUACACUGUUAAACUCUCAAACACACCACAUCGGCCUUUAAAAUUAUCAAUUUUGAGAUCUUUUGAUCAGUAGUCAAAUUAUGUCGAAAAAAUCUGAAAUUUAGUUUCCAAAUACUUUCAAUAGUGUAGAUCAAGUCUAACUGAGCCGAUCGUCGAUUUGGAAGCCACAUCAUCGAAAACAACUUGGUAGCACGGAGUGCUCCGUGCUACUGAUAGUAUAGUAGCCGAACUCUAUAUAUAUAUAUAUAUAUAUAUAUAUAUAGAGAGAGAGAGAGAGAGAGAGAGAGAGAGAGAGAGAGAGUCCGGCUAUGGUGCUUGUAAAAGUACCAAGCAUUUCAUGCUUAUAAAUUUUUUACCAUUAGAUUUACGCCUUUAAUUAUUUUCACCCGUUAGAUUAUACUAUUCAACCAACCACUCAAUCAACCAUAGGGAGCUUGUAAAAUUACCAAGCAUUUGGUGCUUGUAAAUUUUUUACUGUUAGAUUUACGUUUUUAAUUAUUUUUACCCGUUAGAUUAUACUAUUCAACCAACCAUUCAAUCAACCGUAGGGGGCCCACAUCAUCCUAACCGCACAUUCCUUAAUCCAAGGGUUGAAAACUUACAAGCACGUACCAAUGACUUGAUACUUUUAAAAGCAUAGGAGCUCAAUUUUAUAUAUAUAUAUAUAUAUAUAUAUAUGAGCAGGACUGCUGUGCUCUCAGGAGCACGGAGGCCUUCGUGCUCCUGAGCCAUUUUCGAUGAUAGAAUUUUCGAAUCGACGAUCGGCUCCGUUAGAAUAUUUGAAGUUUUUAGAAAAUAAUUUUUACGAUUUUUUGAUAUCAUUUACCUAGUGAUUGAUAAGCGUUAAAAAUCAAUAAGUUUUAAUUGUUGAUAUCUGCCGUUUUCAAGUUUAACGGUAUAGAAAUAUUCAAAUCAGAUAAAAUUUUGAUACAAAAUUCUUUAUACUAUCUACAACAAGAUCAAUAUUUCUGAUCGAAAAUUUUAAUGCUUUAUCACUAUUUUUUAUUAAUUUUUUAUUUUCAGCCGUUAAAAAUUAUUGAUUUUGAAUCCUUUUGAUUACUAGGUAAAUGAUAUCNUGAUCUGUAAGUUUGAUUUUAUUCUUAUUACAAAAUUAGUUAGAUAUUAAUCACAAUCAGAUUUUCGUUGCGGUAUUUGUUCUAACAAUCUAAGGCGUAUUUUCAAUUUGAUUGUUGUUAAAAUCUAACGGAUGUUAAUCUGUAUUAAAUUAAUUUUAUACGUAUAUAAUUUGUUUGUUAAUUUGUUUGUUGGCAUUUAAAUAUAAUUUUUUUUUGGGAUUAGCACUUUAACCUAUAAUUGCAUAUUAUGUAAUUUCUUGUUUAAAUUACAUUUUAUUUGAUGAGUAUUUAAAAAAAAAAAAAAUUGCCUUUACUGUAGCUCUUUUGGGGAAAAAAAGAGGUACGGACAUUAUGGAUUAUUUAUAGUUUUCACUGUUUGUCUAUAUGUUAAAAAGAAAAAAGAAAAAAAAGGCUGUUUUGCUAGAAUAAUAAAUAUCUUUUUAAUCAAGUAUUUAAAAAAAAAAGUUCUGUACCUGCAUUGAUUUUUUUUUUAAAAAAAAGAAAUUUUUUUGCUACAGUGAAAUUAAUCUUUACUGUGUAUGGUUUUUUGAGUUGUUGCUACAGUAAAAGCUCUUUAAUGAAAGAAAAAAUUCUGCUGCAAAAUUAAUUUUAAACAAUUUUGCUCCAAGUGGGAUUUCAACCCACACUUUCUAAAAGCAUAGUUUUUAAGCGAGAUCACCUAACAAGCAGUACUAAUACUAUUGCAUUUUUUUUUAUUGUUGCUGUCACUGGAAACUCUAUUUGUUGGAUUUAAUAUCACAACUAUCUAACUUCUCAGCACGACUGAAUAUACAACAGCUAGCACAUAUUUAUUGUGAUAAUUUUGUUGAUUGUAUUUAAUAUUUUUAUACAUUACUUGCAAUAUAUUGUUUGCAAACAAAUUACCUAAUUAAAAUCAAAUAUUUUAAAAUUGUUUCUGCAAUCUAUUUGUUGUUGAACCGAAUUUUGUUAAACAUGAUUAAAUUUUAUAAUUUUUAAAUUUUUAGUAUAUUUCAGAACUUGUCGGGGUUACUCUUUUAUCAGUUUGAUAAAUUUUGAUAUUAUAAUUGCUCUCGUGAUUUUAUCCUAGUGUUCAUCUUGGAAACGAAUUUUGCAAAUUCUAAGAUUGGGAGGUAAAUUAUUUUGGGACAUAAAUUUAUUAGAUGGUUAUUUUCAUAAUAUUAUUUAUUUGAUUUUAUCAGAUCUGAACAGAACUUUGCAGAUUAUUUGACGAACGGCCUGAAUAGGACUAAGGUCCUGGAGUCAUCGAGGAGGAUGGGACUUGCCCAUAAUGGGCCUUCCUGCAGUGGGAACCCAACCUUUGUGAUAGGAGAUCCCUUGAAGAAGGUUCAAUAUGGUAAAAACAAGCUGUCAGGAUGGCCAAAGAGCACUUUCUACAAAUUUUAUAUAGGAGCUUUAGCUCCAAUCCCAUCCUUAUGGUGAGUAGUGCUCUGUGUAGUGGAUUAGGUUGAGCUGAGAGCUCUUAAUGGGAUCCAAGGCGAUAAUUUUCGCGAGAUGUGACUCUACACACAUCCCUGGAGGAAACCACCUAUAUAAGAGUAUCCGUAUGUGGCCGCGGCUAUGUGAUAUGGGCUAUCCAUAGAAACUCUUAUGAAAAAUCAAGGUACUGUGCAUGGCCAUUAACGCACAGACCCGCGGCGGAGAAUUCUGUACUGUGUGUGUGGUAGUUGAAGUCAGGGCCAAAGGAACGUAGUUCAAGACCUGGUUCACUCCGAUUCCUUCUGAUGGAAACUAUUUACACUAAGUGAGGUUAAGUCUCUUAAAGACACCUUACCCAUUGCAUAGUAUAAAACACCCAGUAAAUUUGAAUUUAAUUCGUAAUUUUAAAAUUUUGAGUUUUGUGGGGGAUUGUUGGUGAAAACUCAAAAUUUUGAGUUUGAAUUUAUUUUAUUUGCACUUUGAUGUUUUAUUAUUUAUUAUUUUAUUUAUUUAUUACUUUAAUUAUUUUAUUUUAUUUAAUUAUUUUAUUAUCUUUCUUAAUGAGAAAGAAACUAACGGAAUUUUUUCCGUUCCGUUUCUUUCGCGUUACGUUGGGCGGGUUCCGCUUCUUUCUCGUAAGAGAAAAAACGUAAAAUCCUCUUUCCUUUUUAGGUCUUUUUCCUUCUCUUCUUGCUCAAGAUAGAGCAGGCAGAAAAGAUUUUUGAUCAUUGGUUAAUCUCUAUCUAUUUAUUCUUUUAUCUUUCAUUUUUGAAAAUUCCCCUUAUCCACUGGGUGUUGAGAAUCUUCGUCAACCUCCUUCACGAUCGUGCUCGCAGGAGGAGGAAUUCCGGUCGUACCUUGGGGUGUUAUUUCCGGUUAAUCCCGCACGUAAGGACGGAAAUACGCCUUAGGGCAGUGCCUCGCACGCUUUCGGAUAAGAUCAAAUCGUUAUUUGGAUAUUUGCGUUGAUCUGUAAGUUUGAUUUUAUUCUUAUUACAAAAUUAGUUAGAUAUUAAUCACAAUCAGAUUUUCGUUGCGGUAUUUGUUCUAACAGAAUUAUUGUUCUCGUUUUAACGGCUUAUCCUGAGAGAACCAUUAAGGGUGAGAAUAAUAUAUAGAACUCACCCCAUUCUAGAACAGCGUUAUUUCAAUGCUGUUCCUUCCCCCCAUUUUAUACUUAUACUCGAAUCAAACAAAGCUUUAGAUUAAAAUUUAAUCAAUUUUAAUUACUCUAUUAGUUACCAACUGUUAAUAGGUCUACUAUUAAGUUCUUAAUUUAUUUACAAAUAUAAAAUGUUAGCUUUGAUGUGCUAAUAUAUUUUAAACUUAAUCAAACACUUUUAAAAUAACAUAUUUUAUUCUUAUAUAUAUAUAUAUAAGUAAAAUCAUAUUUGAUUGGUACAUACUUUUUCUAAUUUAAUGUGUUAAACUUUCUUGGAUAAUAAAUAAAAAAUCGAUAAAAUUUAAACUGGGAUGAUAUUUUUUGUUAUAUAUAUUUCAUGGCAUUUUAACAAUAGGGAACUUAAUUGAAAUAAAUAAUAAAGAUUAGAUCAUAGUUAGUUAAUUCGGAUUCGGCAAAAAUUCGGUACAGGUAUAUGUUGAUAAGUAAUCCAAUAUUUUUGUUUGGUUUAGAUUUAUUUCUGUCAAGUUUAUCCUUCCAACAAUAUAAUUCGGAUAAAAUUCGUCUUUUAAAUUUUAAAUUCGUUGAAAACUACGGCUAAAAAAUGGAUUCAUCAAUUAUUCGGAUACGUGAUUUAUACGGAUAUUAUACGUUCACCAAUUAAAAAUUCGAAAUAAAAAAUUCGGCUAUUAAAUUAAGUUUUUUUUUCCUCAAGAUUUAUACUAUUAGCAUAAAUAUUCAUAUUUCUUAAAAAUAUAAGAAUAAAUAGCUAUAAAAGUAAGCUAAUUAAGUAAAAAAUUCAUAAAGUGCAAUAUAUUCUUGUAUUUUUUGCUCAUUAUCCAAAUAUGCUUGUAUUUUUGGCUCAUUAUCCAAAAAAUUCGGGAUCUGACGAAUAUUAAUUUGGCUCAUUAUCCAAAUAUGCUUGUAUUUUUUCGUUUUGGGCCAGCCGGCGCGCGAAGCUGGCGAGCUGUGACGCCCCAACUUUCCAGGGGGUCACCCAUCCUAGGACUACUCCCGUCCUAGCACGCUUAACUCUCUUAACCUCUUGGGCCUUGCCAUCACCCAAAAUGCUUAAGCCGGGUUAAGAGUUUAGCCCUAUUAUAUCUUAUAUAUAGGACUAUCUGGGGUCUCACAAUCUCCCCUCCUUUAAGCCCUGACGUCCUCGUCAGGCUCAGACUCACAAGUACCAGGCGAUGUGAGACUCGUCUCGCUAGCCCGUCAUCCAGACCCUGACUCAGCCGAGACUCAUCUCACACUUCCGGCUGGUAAUUGGCUCUGAUACCAUCUGUGACGCCCCAACUUCCCAGGGGGUCACCCAUCCUAGGACUACUCCUGUCCUAGCACGCUUAACUCUCUUAACCUCUUGGACCUUGCCACCACCCAAAAUGCUUAAGCCGGGUUAAGAGUUUAGCCCUAUUAUAUCUUAUAUAUAGGACUAUCUGGGGUCUCACACGAGCGCUCGAGGGUGCGAGCUGCGAGCGCGUGAGGGUGCGUGCGGGAGCGCGCGUGGGAGCGCGCGGGCGCGGGCAGCGCGGGUGCGAGGCGUUUUUUUGGACCGAAUAAUUCGGAGUUCGCGUAUAAUACGCGAACAAGUAUUUUUUGCCAAAAGUACGCGUUUUUUCCCCAUUUUUUAGAAAAAUACGAAUUCGACCGUUUAAUUCGUUUUUUCAAAAAUUCAUGAAUAAUUUGCGAAUUAACUAACAUAGGAUUAGAUAUCUAAUUUAAGACCAAAAUAAAUGCGACUAGGUUGGAAACGAUAGACUAAUUAAAUCCAACUAACUAUAUAUAUAUAUAUAUAUAUAUAUAUAUAUAUAUAGAGAGAGAGAGAGAGAGAGAGAGAGAGAGAGAGAGAGAGAGAGAGAGAGAGCGCUAGGCUACUAUACUAUCGGUAGCACGGAGCGCUCCGUGCUACCAAGUUGUUUUCGAUGAUGCGGCUUCCAAAUCGACGAUCGGCUCCGUUAGAGUUGAUCUACACUAUUGAAAGUAUUUAUAAACUAAAUUUCAUAAUUUUUUGAUAUCAUUUACCUAUCAAACAAGUAGUCUAAAAUUGAACGGCUGAAAAUAAAAAUCUCAUAAAAAAUGAUGACAAAAGAUUUAAAUUCAAGAUCAGAUAUACUGAUCUUACUCUAAAUAGUGAAAAAAAUUUUCUAUAAAAUUUUCAUCGCAUUUGAAUUGUUUUACACCGUUAAACUCACAAACACACCACAUUGGCCAUUAAAAUUAUCAAUUUUGAGAUCUUUUGAUCACUAGUCAAAUGAUGUCGAAAAAAUUUAAAAUUUAGUUUCCAAAUACUUUCAAUAGUGUAGAUCAAGUCUAACAGAGCCGAUCGUCGAUUUGGAAGCCGCAUCAUCGAAAACAACUCGGUAGCACGGAGCGCUCCGUGCUACCGAUAGCAUAGUAGCCGGACUCUAUAGAGCUAGGCUACUAUACUAUCGGUAGCACGGAGAGCUAUAAUAUUAUUGAUAGAAAAAGAUUCUUUUUAUUAUUAAAUUUUUAGCUUUUGGAUUAAUUCUUUUUAUCAUUUCUAACCAUUGGAUUAAAUAUUAUAAUCCAAUGGGGACUACUCAACUCUAGAGGGACCACUCAAUCCUAAAAUUAAAAACUUAAUAGAAAAAAAAGCCUUUUGCUAUCUAUAACAGAAGAUCCCCC